rnacentral:lncRNA from 1 species
UGCGCCAUUGUUUUCAAUGCUUUAUUCGAGAACAUGUAGCUAAGCUGAAUAUGAUCCCUCAAAUCAUUCAAUCCGUAAUCAUCGAGAACAGUCUUUGAGAAAUCUUCAUGUGUUGUUUUCUCAUCUAAAUAAAGAACUCUACACCCUCUUCUCUCGACGUUGAAUACAUAUAUGUUUUUCUUAAUCCAGUUACCGGAAACAAUAACUACCGGAUCCAUAACCAACUGAGAAAGAUGAAAACGAUAGAUAAAUAACAUGCAGAAGAACAUGAACAGUCUCAUAAACCAAGUUAUAAAUUUCGUUCGUUAGUGAUGACAUGGCAAAUCCGAGUUGCUGACAUGGCAGAUUCCUUGCUCGUAUCUUGGAUUUUUUUACAAAACUCAGCCAACAAGUU